rnacentral:rRNA from 1 species
AUUGAACGCUGGCGGCAUGCUUUACACAUGCAAGUCGAACGGCAGCGCGGGCUUCGGCCUGGCGGCGAGUGGCGAACGGGUGAGCAAUACAUCGGAACGUGCCCAGUAGUGGGGGAUAGCUCGGCGAAAGCCGGAUUAAUACCGCAUACGACCUGAGGGUGAAAGCGGGGGAUCUUCGGACCUCGCGCUAUUGGAGCGGCCGAUGGCAGAUUAGCUAGUUGGUGGGGUAAAGGCCUACCAAGGCGACGAUCUGUAGCUGGUCUGAGAGGACGACCAGCCACACUGGGACUGAGACACGGCCCAGACUCCUACGGGAGGCAGCAGUGGGGAAUUUUGGACAAUGGGCGAAAGCCUGAUCCAGCAAUGCCGCGUGUGUGAUGAAGGCCUUCGGGUUGUAAAGCACUUUUAGCGGGAACGAAAAGGACUGUGCCAAUACCACGGUUCGAUGACGGUACCCGCAGAAUAAGCACCGGCUAACUACGUG